AGGAGUGUGGCGGAAUGGUCUACGCACAGCACUUAAAAUGCUGCGGCUUUACGGCCUGGGGGUUCGAAUCCCCUCACUCCUACCA
rnacentral:tRNA from 1 species